AUUGCCUUCCUUGUCUGUUUGACUGUCAGGCUAUGAAGGAACUCCCAGAAAAAUAAGAAUAUGAAUUAAGAGUAACUGGGACGUGAAUUUCUCCUCACAUUCACUGCUCUGAGAAAUUUCAUUUCAGGUUUCCAAGUGCUAAUUUCAAACUGUUAAAGUACACAGAAUUUGGCAUGAGCUGCAAGGUCACGGAUGGGAAUUAUUCCUCUACUUUAGAUGUGAGUUUAUUGGGCAUUUGUCAUUUUACUGUUAUUUUUCUCUUGUGGAAGAGUGUUUUUUUUUUUUUUUUUUUUUUUUUUUUUUUUUUUUGCCUUGCUAGGUAACAGCAAUACUGGAAAGUAGACCUGGAUUAUUUCAUGCAAAAGUAUCUGCCUUUUUACAUCUACACCAAAGUGAAGCCUGCACCAUCUCCUAUCAAACUUGAGUUGCAUUGAUACACAGGAAUUCACCAGCUAUGUGAAAGGUACAGUCAACUCAAGGCAGUCAUUAAUCUGACCUCCAGAACUAUAAGAACUGUGUUACUUUGGUAUAUAAUUUUGCUUUUGGUAUUUGAGUACUUGGAUUAUAUUUCAGGUCACAACUCCUUCGCUCUAAUUGCAUAGAAAAGAUUCCUGUGUCUUUCUCUUUAAAUGAAAAUUCUCAGGAUCCCAUGAUUACUUAUCUUACUAAACUAGAAUUUAGGAGGAACAUCAGCUAACACAAGGCACAGUAAUGUUGCUUUCAGUCAAAUUGCAUUUAUGCAAAUAAAGGUCAGAUUUAGUACAAUGGAUUUACCCAGUUCUCAGUCUGGAGAGUGACUCACACAUAGGACCUUUUCUAAUGAGUUAACAUAGCUUCAAAAUGUCAUUUACAAAGAAGACAAAACAAAUCACACACAAAAAUGCAAAACCAAAACAACCCUGGACAGAGACUAUAACUGAUGUAAUUGUAACUCCUGAUGCAUCAGUGAAUUUCCUUUUGCUGUUUGAAAUCCUUUGCUAACUCUCUGCAUGUAUAACUGUUCACAUUUUAGACUGUUCUCAAUGUCUCUUUUUCUAAGCCUUUGAAGUAAAGGCAGGAAAUAGGACUUGCAGAUGUCACCACUGUGGUUCCUGGUCUAAAGACAAGCAACAUAGAAACCUAUACAGCAGAUAGAGUUUUUUUUAAAUGCACAAGUUGAAUUUGUAUAAAUCUUUGGAUUUAUACAAAUUUAGACAAAUAUUUUUACAAGUAAAUCAGACUCCAAAACCAGGUCAAAGUAAGUAUUAGGUCUCCUUGGUGAAUUACCCUUACUUCAAUUAAAUUGCCAUUGCUACUACUGCUUUAUGCAGGCUUUUUAAAGCACUACUGUAACUAGUUUAUUGCUCUCACACUUACUCUCCCUUACGCUCCUUUAGACAUUCUCUCAACCUUUUAUUUUUAUAUUUUCACUCCAUUGAAUGUGUCAAACCACAUAAGCAGUGAUUUUAUCUGGUAUACUGAUUCAGUCUAAUAUGAUAUUAACGAAAAAUCACACACAAAAUCUACACUCUUUUAAAAUUGAUCUCAAUGGUCUCUGCAUUAUCACAAAUUUGAGAAUCAUUCCUCCUAAAGCAGCAAGAUGGGUGGACCAGAUCAAUGAUUUUCAGAUGCAGAGAGCACUGACAAAGCACAGUUGUGAGUAGUCAUCUGAAAUGGACUUAGAUUCAUCUCUCUUGAGACUCAAUGUCAGCAUCAACGAUGAAGGUUUCAUCUACGUUCAUUAAGCUGACAAUGAUAAAAGGAAUCCACAAUGAUCACAUUUGCUCAUCUUCUUAGGGGUCAGCCAACUUAAAAAGGUAUUGCCUCCAGGCACUCAGUACCAAAUGUCCUUAUCUUUAAGAAUCAGACUUCAGCCAACAAGUAGAGCUGAAAUUUACAACAUGCAUCUAUAAGCUGCUAUGAAUAACAUAUACUGUGCUGCUAAGCUAUAUGCUAACAGUAGAAAUGCUGUUUUACAAUCACAUGAGCAACAUUUAUAGGCUGUUACAUCAAAUAUUCCAGAGUUGUACUGAAAUCUAAAGGAGUACAAACUAAAUAAUAGUGAAAUAACAGAGAUGAGGUGAUAAGCAGCUUAAGUGGAAAUGGAAUUAAACAUUACUUCAGAAGGUAAUAUUUGCAAAUGUUUAUUAAGAGCCUAGCACAGUAGAGAUGAGAUGGCCCAUAACAAUGUUUUGUUUCCUUCUGCAAGCACCUAAGAAGGACCACUGCUUCUCUACUUCUAUCAACAAUUAAAUCUCCAGUCCAUUUUCACAUGAAAUCAUCUGCAUGAAUAACACAGAUGCCAAAAGGUACUGGCUACACCAGCCAGGAAGUUCACACUGUGUAAUUCAGCAUAUACCCAUAUAGGAAUAUAGUAUGACAAUGAACAACUUAAAUUACUGUUUUGAGCCAGCAAGAACCUUCUAUACCCAGCUGCAACGUCUGAUACAAGAAAUAUGCCACCAGCUGCAAUAGCAGAUGUUAUGGAAACUGAUUUCUCAAACAGCGUAGCAUUGUCAUAUGGCUUCUACUAAGCUGUGCUGGAUGAAACUUGAAUUUACAAGGCCAGCUACGCAGCCUGCCUCUGGCCUACAGUACAGUCCAUGGAAAGAAAUGCUGUGUUUCCCAGCAAGCAACGUGCAUUUAUCCAACCUGAAAGUGGUGGUAGUUUACAUCUGUAUAAAUUUGCUUUCUUCAUUCAUACUUUUCAUUUCCUUUCUACCUUGAUGUUUAAGAAAAAUCAAGCAGAAGACCAUUUUUAUGGCAGCGUUUUCUUAAGAACACAGUUCAUAAUUUAAUUUUUUAUUCCUUAGUGUCACUAGUUUACAUCCUGACUGUAAAGUCUCUCUUAUUAUUGCCAUUGCAUGUUGGAAACAAUCAUAGAACCGCUCAGGUUGGAAAAGACCUUAAAAGAUCAUCGAGUCCAACCAUGGCCUGACCAUACUACCCUAACUCUAACAGCCCUCCACUAAAUCACAUCCCUGAGCACCACAUCCAAACUGUUUUUAAACACACACCCAGGGAUGGUGACUCAAUCACCUCCUUGGGGAAACUAUUCCAAUGCUUAACAACCUUUUCUGUAAAGAAGUUUUUCCUGAUAUCCAACCUAAACUUCCCCUAGAGCAACUUGAGGCCAUUUCCGCUUGUCCUGUCACCUAUCACCAGUGAGAAGAGACAAAACCCGCUCUUUUGCUUUAAGCGCCUUUCUGGCACUGGAAGAGAGCAAUAAGGUCUCCCCUCAGCCUCCUUUUCCUCAGUUCCUUCAGUCUCUCAUCAUAUGGCACAUUCUCCAACCCCUUCACAAGCCUUGUUGCCCUUCUUUGGACCUGCUCCAGCACCUCAGCGUCCUUUCUGUACCGAGGUGCCCAAAACUGAAUAUGCAGUACUUGAGGUGGGGUCUCAUCAGAGCCGAGUGCAGGGGCAGGAUGGCUUCCCUAGCCCUGCUCACCUCACCAUUCCUGAUCCAAGCCAGGAUGCCAUUGGCCUUCUUGACCUGGGCACACUGCUGGCUCAUAUUCAGCCGACUGACCAUCAGUAUUACACCAAGGUCCCUUUCCAUCAUGCAGCUUUCUAGCCACUCUUCUCCAAGCCUGUAGAGUUGCCUGGGGUUGUGGCCAAAAUGCAGGACCCAACCCUUGGCCCUAUUGAAACUCACGCAGUUAACCUCAGCUCAUCGAUCCAGUCUAUCCAGGUCUCUCUGUAGCGCCUUUCUCCCCUCAGGCAGAUCAACAUCCCUCCUAACUUGGCAAGAUAAAGGUUUCAAGACAACUGCCCUUUCCAACACAGCACAGAAUCUGAACAAAUGUUUGAAACUAAAAGCUAGUUCUCUGACUCAACUUUUCCAUCAGUAGUCUGCAGUAUUCCACAUUUCCCUCAAUCAGAAUAACUGAGGAAGUAUAGUCCCUUUUUGAUAUCCUCUUGCUCUGGAAGAAAGAGACUGUCUUCUAACUUCAUCAUUUAUUCUUUCAGCUACUGAGGGAUCAAGCAAUCAUGGAAGUACUGCCUUCCAAAUUGUUAUUUGCUCAUCAUUUUGUGAUUAGCAGCAACAUCCCUUUGUCCAAUCCCGCAACAUAGAAAUGGAUGAUUGUCAAUAAUUCAUUCUGCCAGGUGUGAAAGUCUCUGCAGUAAGCUCCUACAGGCCUUGUUUAAAAGAAAAAAAGACAAAGCAAUUCCCAAGAAAUGCUCUUUCUGAAAAAGAAUUUGCAAUCUGACAGAUACAAAGAAAAAUUCUAAUUUAACACAAUUCAUGUAUUUAAACAAAAAAUUACUCUUCAAAUUACAAAAUACUGCUAUGAAGAAAAAGAAUUUUCCUACUAUCAAUCUGUCAUUCAUAAAUAUUAAUUAGUCAGAAGUUAAUAUGCAGAAUAUAUAUUUGUUGUAUUUCAGUCCACAGCAAUGUGUUGGAUUUUAAACCCAGCAGCAAAACAGAAUUCUUUUAACGUUUGAGCACACAAAACAGGCUUGAACAAAUGCAGCGGUUGCAGAUGUCUUCUGGGGACACUGAAUACAUCCAAGCCCCAGAACAUAACCUAAUCAUAGAGACAUCAGUAGUGUUUUGAGAUCCACAUGAUAAAUCUCAUUGUUACUCUGUAGUUGGAAGCAUAAAGAUAAAAUAACGCCAAAACACAAACCUGUUUCUUUGACUCCAAUAGUAAUUAUAUAGAGAGUGCUAAUAUUUGAAUAUGAUAAUUACAGGUAUUUCAAAAGUGAACUACAGCUCAUGGAACUUAUGUGUAGCUCACUCAGCAUGUAAUACUCAGAAGGCUCAGGCAGCAAUUUGAAAAUGACAAUGUUUUCUGAUUGAAAAGACAACAAUUUAUGUAAAUGGAAAUCAUAAUUAAAAAGCAAUUAAUACUUUAUCUCAAGGUGUAAUUUCAAUUCAUUGUGAAGGCUUAUUUAACACCCAUAAGCUCUUAUAUGCAUCUCAUCCAACUUUUUUCCUAGAAAAAGUACUCCUUCCAAUGAAGUGCUGUAGUUAAUCUUAUAUGACAGAUCUCAAACUAUGGUUUGAAAUUAUUCUGCCUCUUCUUUGGAGAAUAAUUUCACCCGUUAAUCUGAAUUCUGAGUUUUGCAAAACAGAAGGCCCACCCACUGCACAAGAAAAAGACUCUACAAGAAAGGGAAAAAAAAAAUAAAAUCACAACUAUUCCCUUUGUUCACAGAUUUGGGCUGAUUCCCAGAGUAUAACAGAUAAUCAUCAAUCACAGAAUCAUUACAGCAGGCUACCAUAAUGGAGAUGCAGGAAGCACCCAGCCACGUCCCCUUCUCGCUGGCUGUGCUGCUUGUGCCAUCCCUGUGUACACUGAGGGUGGGAGCAAUCCUUGGUGUGUGCAGCAGGAGGUAAAUUGUUCUGAUCAUUCAGUUACAGCAACAGCUAGAAAUAAAGCUGUGCAAAGCAGCUUUGACUCAGAGGAGAAUUAAGACAUGAGUAUAAAUCUAUUCCUAUGAUUUAUAUUUACACAAGUUUAUGUUUUUCUUUCAACUCUGGGAAGGAGAGUUGCUCAUAUGCACAAGAAAGUCUCUGCAGUUUGUUCUAAAAAAAAAAAAAAAUAAUCUGUGCUUUAUUAUAUCAAGACUACUUCUAUGCCUGCAAACAGAGAAAGAGUACACACAAAUCAUAGAGGCUUUAAGAUACAAAUAAAGAACAUCCAGUGAAACAGAGCUCUUUCAGGCUAUGCAUUCAAAGUUUUAAUCUCUCUCAACAUGCUAAUUUCUAUGUGAAAGCAGAUGUGCAAAAGUACAGGUACUUAUUAGAAACCCAACUUCUACCUAAGGCAUAGUGGUGUCCUCAGUCAUAUAAGCACAACUGUGUUCUUGGCUGUAAAACACAGACAGAAGCAUUAAUAUAUGGUGGUUACAGAUUAAGGUUCACACCAGCCCUGAUGUCCAAAAUACCUGAAAAAUUAUUUUACAGCAUUUUAAGUUUAGAGUUAGAAGCAAAGAAUGCAUACAUCUGCCCAAACACUCCAAGUAUCUGCUAAAACAGGGUCUAGUCUCUUCUAUAGGAAUGUUUCAUUAGCCUUUUCACCUGACUAAAUUUUUAAUCCUAAUACUUUUGGAGGUUUAAGGGAUUAAUAGAACAAUUUGUUAUUGUUAUUGCUGUUAAUGUCAUUUUCAUCAAUAGGCAAUGCUGCUAUAAUAUACGACACGCAAAAAGUAAAAUAAAUUUAUAUAGUAGAAAUUAGGCUGUACUUAUCCAAUAAUGGGAAUAAACUUAAAACUAAACCCGAGAAUAAAUUAAUUAGAAGAAAAAUGGUAUUUUUUUAAAUGUCAAAACAGACCAACAGUCUUGAGUAUUUCCAGUGUAUUUCGUAAACAAAAUUAGAGUCAAAGUAACAGUUUGAAAUAAGCCAUCAUUUUCCAGUGAAGGAAAAACUGUUCAGCACUUAAUGGAAACACAAGCUCCUUCCAAUGAGAAGGAAAUUAUUACCAUAAAACCAUAAUAAAAGAUGACUCAAGCUCACUGUAAUUAAAACCACAGCUAACUACUUGAAUAUUUUGAUCCCAGAUUCGUGCUAUUUAGAGUGGCGCUUACAUCCAGCUAACUAUUAGUGCAUAAAAACAUCCACAAUAUCAAAUGAGUGGUUGAAAUAAAAAUAUUCUACGAUUAGAAGCUGUGAAAUAUAAGGUGUGCUGCGUACAGGCUGCUCCGUGGUAAGGCACGGUAAUCUUAAGAAUACAGUUUGCUUUCAAGUAAAAAUCUUAUCACAAAACGGUGCUUCCUUAUAUGACUCAUAACUUCAGAAUCUAAAAUGUAACUAUUUUUUAGGUUAAGGUAUGUUUAUAGCCUGCUCUGCUUCCCCCUCUCCUCCUGGCAACAACAAGAAAAAGAACACAAAAAACAUGCAUCUCUCCAUUCAUCUUUUCUCUAUCACA